rnacentral:misc_RNA from 1 species
CUUUCUACGGAGUACAACUUCUGUUAUGGAAUAAUAUUUGUAUCCAGUUUUGAGAGUACUAACUCUCUUUUUGUUCUUUGAAAACUGAAUAUCGACAUUGAAAAAUUAUUAAUUAAUAUUUCAAAGUUUAGAUCAACCUAUAGAAUACAAAAAUAUAGACAACAAUAGGUCAUACAACAAACAUAACAAAACAACU